GAACGCUGGCGGCGUGCUUAACACAUGCAAGUCGAACGAUGAUGCUCCAGCUUGCUGGGGUGGAUUAGUGGCGAACGGGUGAGUAACACGUGAGUAACCUGCCCUUCACUUUGGGAUAAGCCUUGGAAACGGGGUCUAAUACCGGGUAUGCACAUACUGUCGCAUGGUGGUGUGUGGAAAGCUUUUGUGGUGGAGGAUGGACUCGCGGCCUAUCAGCUUGAUGGUGGGGUAGUGGCCUACCAUGGCUUUGACGGGUAGCCGGCCUGAGAGGGUGACCGGCCACACUGGGACUGAGACACGGCCCAGACUCCUACGGGAGGCAGCAGUGGGGAAUAUUGCACAAUGGGCGGAAGCCUGAUGCAGCGACGCCGCGUGGGGGAUGAAGGCUUUCGGGUCGUAAACUCCUUUCAGCAGGGACGAAGCUUUUGUGACGGUACCUGCAGAAGAAGCACCGGCUAACUACGUGCCAGCAGCCGCGGUAAUACGUAGGGUGCGAGCGUUGUCCGGAAUUAUUGGGCGUAAAGAGCUUGUAGGCGGUUUGUCGCGUCUGCCGUGAAAGCCCAGGGCUUAACCCUGGGUCUGCGGUGGGUACGGGCAGACUAGAGUGUGGUAGGGGAGACUGGAAUUCCUGGUGUAGCGGUGAAAUGCGCAGAUAUCAGGAGGAACACCGAUGGCGAAGGCAGGUCUCUGGGCCACUACUGACGCUGAGAAGCGAAAGCAUGGGGAGCAAACAGGAUUAGAUACCCUGGUAGUCCAUGCCGUAAA
rnacentral:rRNA from 1 species